rnacentral:rRNA from 1 species
UGGGCAACCUGCCCCUCUCUCUGGGAUAACCCCCGGGGAAAACCGGAGCUAAUACCGGAUACUCCGGCUGGAUCGCAUGGUCCGGCCGGGAAAGGUCCGCCGGAGAGGGAUGGGCCCGCGGCCUAUCAGCUUGUUGGUGGGGUCAUGGCUCACCAAGGCGACGACGGGUAGCUGGUCUGAGAGGACGACCAGCCACACUGGAACUGAGAUAUGGUCCAGACUCCUACGGGAGGCA